rnacentral:rRNA from 1 species
UUUGCCUACGGGGCGCAGCAGUGGGGAAUAUUGGGCAAUGGGCGUAAGCCUGACCCAGCAACGCCGCGUGAAGGAAGAAGGCUUUCGGGUUGUAAACUUCUUUUAACAGGGAAGAGCAGAAGACGGUACCUGUUGAAUAAGCCACGGCUAACUACGUGCCAGCAGCCGCGGUAAUACGUAGGUGGCAAGCGUUGUCCGGAUUUACUGGGUGUAAAGGGCGUGCAGCCGGGUUUAUAAGUCAGAUGUGAAAUCCCGCGGCUCAACCGCGGAACUGCAUUUGAAACUGUAGAUCUUGAGUACUGGAG